ACAUCCAGAGAACUUAGCAGAGAUGCUUUGGUGCCUUCGGGAACUCUGAGACAGGUGCUGCAUGGCUGUCGUCAGCUCGUGUUGUGAAAUGUUGGGUUAAGUCCCGNAACGAGCGCAACCCUUAUCCUUUGUUGCCAGCGGUUCGGCCGGGAACUCAAAGGAGACUGCCGGUGAUAAACCGGAGGAAGGUGGGGAUGACGUCAAGUCAUCAUGGCCCUUACGGCCAGGGCUACACACGUGCUACAAUGGCGCAUACAAAGAGAAGCGACCUCGCGAGAGCAAGCGGACCUCAUAAAGUGCGUCGUAGUCCGGAUUGGAGUCUGCAACUCGACUCCAUGAAGUCGGAAUCGCUAGUAAUCGUAGAUCAGAAUGCUACGGUGAAUACGUUCCCGGGCCUUGUACACACCGCCCGUCGCACCAUGGGAGUGGGUUGCAAAAGAAGUAGGUAGCUUAACCUUCGGGAGGGCGCUUACCACUUUGUGAUUCAUGACUGGGGUGAAGUCGUAACAAGGUAGGCGUAGCGAG
rnacentral:rRNA from 1 species